GUUGGGUAGGGGAGCGUUCUGUAAGCCUGUGAAGGUGGCCUGUGAGGGUUGCUGGAGGUAUCAGAAGUGCGAAUGCUGACAUAAGUAACGAUAAAGCGGGUGAAAAGCCCGCUCGCCGGAAGACCAAGGGUUCCUGUCCAACGUUAAUCGGGGCAGGGUGAGUCGACCCCUAAGGCGAGGCCGAAAGGCGUAGUCGAUGGGAAACGGGUUAAUAUUCCCGUACUUGGUGUUACUGCGAAGGGGGGACGGAGAAGGCUAUGUUGGCCGGGCGACGGUUGUCCCGGUUUAAGCGUGUAGGUGUGUGUUCCAGGUAAAUCCGGAAAAUCAAGGCUGAGGCGUGACGACGAGGCACUACGGUGCUGAAGCAACAAAUGCCCUGCUUCCAGGAAAAGCCUCUAAGCAUCAGGUAACAUCAAAUCGUACCCCAAACCGACACAGGUGGUCAGGUAGAGAAUACCAAGGCGCUUGAGAGAACUCGGGUGAAGGAACUAGGCAAAAUGGUGCCGUAACUUCGGGAGAAGGCACGCUGACACGUAGGUGAAGUGAUUUACUCAUGGAGCUGAAGUCAGUCGAAGAUACCAGCUGGCUGCAACUGUUUAUUAAAAACACAGCACUGUGCAAACACGAAAGUGGACGUAUACGGUGUGACGCCUGCCCGGUGCCGGAAGGUUAAUUGAUGGGGUCAGCGCAAGCGAAGCUCCUGAUCGAAGCCCCGGUAAACGGCGGCCGUAACUAUAACGGUCCUAAGGUAGCGAAAUUCCUUGUCGGGUAAGUUCCGACCUGCACGAAUGGCGUAAUGAUGGCCAGGCUGUCUCCACCCGAGACUCAGUGAAAUUGAACUCGCUGUGAAGAUGCAGUGUACCCGCGGCAAGACGGAAAGACCCCGUGAACCUUUACUAUAGCUUGACACUGAACAUUGAGCCUUGAUGUGUAGGAUAGGUGGGAGGCUUUGAAGUGUGGACGCCAGUCUGCAUGGAGCCGACCUUGAAAUACCACCCUUUAAUGUUUGAUGUUCUAACGUGGACCCGUGAUCCGGGUUGCGGACAGUGUCUGGUGGGUAGUUUGACUGGGGCGGUCUCCUCCUAAAGAGUAACGGAGGAGCACGAAGGUUGGCUAAUCCUGGUCGGACAUCAGGAGGUUAGUGCAAUGGCAUAAGCCAGCUUGACUGCGAGCGUGACGGCGCGAGCAGGUGCGAAAGCAGGUCAUAGUGAUCCGGUGGUUCUGAAUGGAAGGGCCAUCGCUCAACGGAUAAAAGGUACUCCGGGGAUAACAGGCUGAUACCGCCCAAGAGUUCAUAUCGACGGCGGUGUUUGGCACCUCGAUGUCGGCUCAUCACAUCCUGGGGCUGAAGUAGGUCCCAAGGGUAUGGCUGUUCGCCAUUUAAAGUGGUACGCGAGCUGGGUUUAGAACGUCGUGAGACAGUUCGGUCCCUAUCUGCCGUGGGCGCUGGAGAACUGAGGGGGGCUGCUCCUAGUACGAGAGGACCGGAGUGGACGCAUCACUGGUGUUCGGGUUGUCAUGCCAAUGGCACUGCCCGGUAGCUAAAUGCGGAAGAGAUAAGUGCUGAAAGCAUCUAAGCACGAAACUUGCCCCGAGAUGAGUUCUCCCUGAGACUUAGAGUCUCCUGAAGGAACGUUGAAGACGACGACGUUGAUAGGCCGGGUGUGUAAGCGCAGCGAUGCGUUGAGCUAACCGGUACUAAUGAACCGUGAGGCUUAACCUUACAACGCCGAAG
rnacentral:rRNA from 1 species